AUGGGCGCGGAGGCGGAGUGCGACAGGAUAAAGGGGCCGUGGAGCCCUGAGGAGGACGAGGCGCUGCGGCGGCUGGUGGAGCGGCACGGGGCGCGGAACUGGACCGCGAUCGGGAGAGGGAUCCCCGGGCGGUCGGGCAAGUCGUGCCGCCUGCGGUGGUGCAACCAGCUCUCGCCGCAGGUGGAGCGCCGCCCCUUCACGGCGGAGGAGGACGCCGCCAUCCUGCGGGCGCACGCGCGCCUCGGCAACCGCUGGGCCGCCAUCGCGCGCCUGCUGCCCGGCCGCACCGACAACGCCGUCAAGAACCACUGGAACUCCUCGCUCAAGCGCAAGCUCGCCACCGCCACCGGCGGCGCGGCGUGGGAGGAGGCCAGCGACUCCGGCGACUCCCCGCGGCCGUGCAAGCGCGCGAGCCCGGGUCCCGAGAGUCCCACUGGAUCCGACCGCAGCGAGCUCAGCCACGGGAGCGGGCAGGUGUUCCGGCCCGUCCCGCGCCCCGGCGGGUUCGACGCUAUCAGCGCGGACGUGAGGCCGCCUCCUCCGCGCCAGGACGAGGACCCGAUCACCUCUCUGUCGCUCUCGCUACCCGGACUGGAGCACGGGUUCCACCACGAUAGCGCCCGGAGCCACUUCCAGGAGCUCUCGCCAUCGCCACGCUCGCCUUCUCCUCCACCGGCGCCGGUGCCUCAGCCGUCGUCCUCGUACCCGUUCAGCGGCGAUCUGGUGGCGGCCAUGCAGGAGAUGAUCCGCGCGGAGGUGUGCAAGUACAUGUCCGGCGUGGGGCUCCCGGCCGGGUGCGGCGCGGGUGCCGUGGGCGAGGCGUGCAUCCCGCAGCUCGUGGAGGGCGUGAUGCGCGCCGCGCGGAGCGGGUCGGCGUCAUGA
rnacentral:rRNA from 1 species